CUUUUUCAGAUUUUGUAAGCAAAAAGCAUAGAGUUGGAUGAUGCGUGGCAUGUGGACCUUCCAAGGAGCUCAGAAGGAAAACACAGAGCGCCCUCGUUAAUUUGGAUUCCACUGACUUUGAAUUGGGGAUAAUUUGGACACAUUGUAAAUGAGAAGUUGUUGGCAUUAUUUUUGAAGAAAUGCACUGCUUUCAAAUUUUGCCAGGUUAGUUUUAUGUCUGAAAUGAGGACAUAAGAUAGGAGGUUAGAAAGAACAGAGAAGUCCUACAUCUUUGAGGGAGAGUGAGGCUCAUUUCAAGCUUGGACGUGCACACAUCAGGCGCUGUGCCAGAGCUAAAUCCCCAGCCCUUUAAAGCCUUAAUCUUGACAAGGGUUUUUGUGGAGUUGCUGUGACCCCUUGAAUCGGGACCAAAUGAAGCCUCCCCUCCGCUUACCUCGCUGUCGCUGCCCGGGAACCUGUCCUCCCCGCACCGGAGCGGAUGUGGUGGAAGCAGCUGGUGGCGUACUCGGUCCACUCAUCAUCCCUGGGAAGGCUGGAGGCAGCGUUGGAGAAGGAGCGGAACACCGACAGCUUGCAGGCUAUUUUCCUACAGCGUCUUUUUCAGGGGCUGCACCUCUUUGUUCUGGCGGCAGGGGCGGGGUGGGAGGUGGGUCUUCCUUUUGGAGAAGGCAGCUGAGACCGACUGCUUCUUUAAGAAAUUUUCCAGUCCCAAUAGUGGGACGACCUGAAAGUUCUUAGCAGGCUGCCUCGGCAUUUGGGAGCAGCACCUGGAGAGCUCUGGGUGCAACCUCUUGUUUCCCAGUUGUUUUGCCUUUGAUUCUUUUAACGGCUGCUUCAGCAGGAAGAAUGUCCCAUUGUCCGAAGAGGGAGUUCCAUCAAGUGCAAACACACCUGUUUUGGAUUCUUAAGAUUCACACCACUGGCCUGUGAAAUAUUAUGAGGGGCCCUGUUAUGAUUUGUGUCUAGAUGUCCCGCAAAGCCUCAUACAGUCAUGGGGCGGGCUUCUAAACUUUGUGAUUGAUUCCCGGUCCAAUGCUAGGAUUAUGGGUGUGAGUGCUACACCCCUCCUGGGGCGGGGAGCCUGCAUAGAAUACAAGGGAGGGAGGGAGGCUUGCUCUCUGCUGCUCCUUCCUUUUUGCUGUUGCUGCUUUUCCUGUUUUC